UAUUGUCCAGGUGCGGUGGCUCACUCUUCUAAUUCCAGCACUUUGGGAGGCUGAGACAGUGGAUCUUGAGGUCAAGAGAUGGAAACCAUCCCGGCCAACAUGAAAUCCAGCUGAGUAAAAAUUGGCAAGAUCCUGUGACCCGGUCCUUCAUCAAGACAAAGCUUUGCCCCCAAAGGACUCGAGGCCAUCUGUGAAUUCCAUGUUUGACAGAAAAGCUGACAGCAUAACCAAGCAAACAAGAAGGUAUUCAGAGACGCUGAAACAGAUCUUCAAAGAAGACUCAGUAGAGUGCACGAUUAGUCAACAAUAAAAAGAAGUGAAGUACCGAUAACAAGCUACAACUUGGAUGAACCUUGAAGACUUUAUGUGAAGUGAAAGAAGCCAGUCUUCUGAGCUGUGGGGGAAUACUUCAGUGAAAAAUGAAAUACUUCUUUUCUGGAUUCAUCCUGGUCUGAAUCCAGGCUUGCCAAAUAUGCUUUGUUAGGGUAUGCACAACCGAAAGAAAUAUACAUCACAUGAUUCUGUUUACUUGACAUUUCCAGCACAGGCAAGUCUAUAGAGUCAGAAAGCAGGUUAGUAGUUGCUUAGGGAUGGGGAGGUUGGGGGAACUGGGGAGUGACUGCUGAUGGACAGGAGGUUUCCUUAUGUGGUAUAGAAAUGGUCUAAGAUUGAGGGUGGUGAUGGUCACAGAACUCUGUAAAUAUACCAAAAACCACUUUUAAAAACUGUACACAUAAGAAAGAAUUUUUUAAAAAUAAAAGAAUUUUUAAAAAACUGUACACUUUAAAUGGGUAAUUUUUUUUUUUUUUAGACAGGGUCUCUCACUCUGUU
rnacentral:lncRNA from 1 species